rnacentral:tRNA from 1 species
GGGCCCGUAGCCCAGUAUGGAUUAAGGCGCCGAACCACAAUACGCUAAAAGGUGCGCAAGCCUCCGGAGCCGGAGAACAGGGGUUCAAAUCCCCUCGGGCCCG